CUCUCCAAAACAACAUACAUUUUGGAUGUUCCGCGGCGUAUAGUAGAGAAAACCCCGUCCGGGGCAUUUCGGAUUGAUGAAAAUAUUUUUUGAGUUGUCACCCCAUUUCAUCCCCCCACCACUCCUCAUUACGUAACGAUUAAUUUUACUUUUUUUACAUCCCUACCGCCUUCCCACAAUGCUCUGUAAUACUUGCAUGGCUAUCCCAAAAAAUUAGGUAAGGCUAAAAAUGAAAAAUUAGCAUGAAAGUAACAAAACGAUCGGGGUUGCUAUCGAAUCAGACAAAGUCGAUGCACUUCGUUUGAUUACACAUCGAACGAUAGGAUGAAAAUUUCCCCCUCUAAUCCAUGUACUGUAUUCCUUGUAUCAUUAAUUGAGUCAAAUCAUCAAUUCAAUAAUGAAGUGCUCCUUUUUUUUGUGUUACAGAUCUCUAACAUGGGCGUAUGAUGGAUGAGCCUAGGGCCAUUUUGGUCCUAUUUUUAUGUUUAUCUUCCGUUCCACUGCAGAGGAUUUCCUCCUAACUUCAACUAAGGAUGAUGUGGAGGCCUCGUUACGCGCCAUCAGGGACGUGAACGCCGGCUCGAAUGCGAAUCGGACGAGCAUGUCAUCCUCUCGGCGCCCAUCAGCACGCACCCUUACGACACGGCCCGAAAAAAGGCUGACCUCUUCAGCCUCAUCCUCAAGAAAGGGCAAUUCUCCCACCCAAGUAAGCCUGUCCUGUCCCAAAUGACACUCGAAAGCUUUUUUACACGCUGUAAGGAUUUCCUGUUUAAUCGCAAGGAUAUAUUGGAUGGAACGACUCUUCUUACUUGAGUCCCUUUAUACCAAAAGUCAAGACAACACCCCCUCAUGGAGUCAAACAAAUUGGCAGUUUUUCGUAAUCUUUGAUCGGCUCAUUCUCAAAUUCCUUGCUCCGUUCCUUCUCUCAUUCCGUUUGUUCCUUGUCGAACCCGUUAUUCCCCGGUCCAUUCUGGAUUUUAAUCUUUGCAAUCGGUGAAAAUGUAAUCUUUAUUCCCGUUAUUGUGACACUGCGGAGGCCUAAAAUAUAUGGGAACCAAUCAGAAAUUGCUUCACAUUGUCUUUACUCUCAGUAUAAUGGGACUCUAGAACGACUUUUCUUACGAAAUGUUCAUCCGUGCAUGCCGUAGUAUCGUUUUGAAGCGAGAUUUUUUUAAAAAACGCAUAUACUUUGCAGAUUGUGAAGUUAAGAGUGCAUCUCGGACUUUCUCAAUGCGCUCAUCGUGAUGAUUCAGUCAUUUCCAUAAGCUACAACUCCUCUUUCGGCUCCAGCUGAAGUUUGCAACAGACCCAUCCUGAUGUGCUAAGGAAAAACGCCGUAUGAACAUUCGAGAGUUGCCAAUUUCCUCGGAUAAAACAUGCAUUUAUGACAGUUCUGCAUUAUUUUCCUCGAAAUUUUCAAAUAUUACAGAUUAAAUCGUGAACACAAUUUUUUUGAAAAUAUUGUAUAAAAAUAUUCAAAAUUUUCCCUGUAAAUUUGACCUUUAUUGAAGGAAAUAUGGCAAAAUCUGAAGGCUCAUACGGCGUUCUUCCUUAGCACGGCAGCAUUUCAUGCACCUAAAAAUCUGGAGGGGUGGAGGGUGGAACGUGGGUUUUGGAGGGGGGAGGGGG
rnacentral:lncRNA from 1 species